AACGCACAUUGCGCCUUUUGGUAUUCCGAAAGGCAUACUUGUUCGAGCGCCGUUUCAUACUUCAAGCUUCAGCUUGGUGUUGACUGUAAUCUGUUUGGAUUCGGUCGAAACUCAUUGGCGUCGUCCUUGAAAGUCCCAACGUGACAGAAAUCUCUCGUUGUCUGCUGUCAAGAAGACCGCCGGUUUUUGAAACUGAUGGCCUCGGAUCAAGUAGGGUUACCCGCUGAACUUAA
rnacentral:misc_RNA from 1 species